rnacentral:rRNA from 1 species
AUGCAAGUCGAACGGCAGCACGGACUUCGGUCUGGUGGCGAGUGGCGAACGGGUGAGUAACAUAUCGGAACGUAUCCAAUAAUGGGGGAUAACUAAUCGAAAGGUUGGCUAAUACCGCAUACGCCCUACGGGGGAAAGCAGGGGAUCUUCGGACCUUGCGUUAAUGGAGCGGCCGAUAUCUGAUUAGCUAGUUGGUGGGGUAAAGGCCCACCAAGGCGACGAUCAGUAGCUGGUCUGAGAGGACGACCAGCCACACUGGAACUGAGACACGGUCCAGACUCCUACGGGAGGCAGCAGUGGGGAAUUUUGGACAAUGGGCGCAAGCCUGAUCCAGCCAUUCCGCGUGAGUGAAGAAGGCCUUCGGGUUGUAAAGCUCUUUCGCAAGGGAAGGAACGUUACCGGUGAAUAUCCGGUGAUAAUGACGGUACCUUGAUAAGAAGCACCGGCUAACUACGUGCCAGCAGCCGCGGUAAUACGUAGGGUGCGAGCGUUAAUCGGAAUUACUGGGCGUAAAGCGUGCGCAGGCGGUUUUGUAAGUCAGAUGUGAAAUCCCCGAGCUCAACUUGGGAACUGCGUUUGAAACUACAAGACUAGAAUAGGUCAGAGGGGGGUAGAAUUCCACGUGUAGCAGUGAAAUGCGUAGAGAUGUGGAGGAAUAUCAAUGGCGAAGGCAGCCCCCUGGGAUCAUAUUGACGCUCAUGCACGAAAGCGUGGGGAGCAAACAGGAUUAGAUACCCUGGUAGUCCACGCCCUAAGCGAUGUCAACUAG